CGUCUCCUACGGGAGGCAGCAGUAGGGAAUCUUCCACAAUGGGCGAAAGCCUGAUGGAGCAACGCCGCGUGGGUGAAGAAGGUCUUCGGAUCGUAAAACCCUGUUGUUAGAGAAGAAAGUGCGUGAGAGUAACUGUUCACGUUUCGACGGUAUCUAACCAGAAAGCCACGGCUAACUACGUGCCAGCAUCCGCGGUAAUACGUAGGUGGCAAGCGUUAUCCGGAUUUAUUGGGCGUAACGAG
rnacentral:rRNA from 1 species